AGAACACCCUUUCAGUCAGCAUGACUGGAACUUUGAUCAACAAAUCCCCAAGAGCCACAACCCGUCUUUUGUGAACAAGUAGUAUCAAGGUGGGGGUGGGCUUGGAGUGCACUGGAUGCUUUUCUUCUUUCAUCAUGAAACCUGGUGGUUUUGUGUCAUGUGAUAUGUUUUUCAGAGAUUCGGCAGGAAGCUUGCACCGAGUGAAGGAUUUAUAAAGAUUAUAGGAGAUAACACAAAGCUAUUUUAUCUCUUUAAAAAAAAUCAAAGGUGUAAGCUCAUCCUACACAUGUCAUUUGGACCAGACCAAGGCUGCUGUCAUGGAGGACCCACACCACAGCUUGGGAACCAUUCAUCUACCAGAGGGUCACAUGACUUCAAAUGACUCUUCUAGGGGCCACCUGCCAUGAUAGGGUACCAGCUCUUCCUCUGAAUUCCCAAUCCAUUUCUUGAGAACUACUGUUUCUAAUAAGGUAGACAAGCUGCAAAGUUUCAUAAAGUCUCAACAACGGCCAACAUGGAAAUUGGAAAAGUUAGAACAAAUAGACCAAGCCUGGGGAAAUUUACUGAACUCUGGGGCUCCCUUCCAAGUAUGGUGAUCGGUAACCCAAAUUAAACUCACUAAGGUGUCCUGAAAAAAAUGGGGUCAAUAAAAGAUAAUGUCAAUCUGGAACACACCCUCUGAAUUGGGACUAAACCCCAAGCCAAUGAAUGGAGAAUGAGCAACAAGUUAUAGCUCCAGGGGCCUGGUAAGAGUGAAGAAGGGAAAAGUCUACAGAAAAAGUAAUAGUUCAGGGAAGACUUUAUCUUAGCAGGAGCAGAAGAAGGGAUGAAGUUAAAUCCAUCCACUGGGACAGGCCAGGUUUGCUGGUGAUUAGAGGAGAAGCCUGCUGUUUAGCCAUUCUGCUUUGUAUAGAGUCUACUUACACAGCUUCAGACUUAGGAUUGGGUUGCCAAGAAGGUGGGGACAUGCAGACACCAAAAUGUGCUGCGUCUCUCUCUGUCUCUCUGUAUCCUCCUACCCACAUGAUGUCCACUGCCCUUUUUGCAGAACUGCAUUCUGGUUUGGCAAUAUCCCAUGUCUUGGACUUUUGCCAAUUGUCUCUUCUUUGCCUCAUUUAAAGCUUUCUCUCUCCCUUUUUUUUUUUUUUUUAGAUGGAGUCUCUGUUGCCAGGCUGGAGUGCAGUGACAUGAUCUCACUGCAACCUCCGCCUCCCAGGUGCAAGUGAUUCUCCUGCCUCAGCCUCCUGAGUAGCUGGGAUUACUGGAGUGCACCACCACACCCAGCUAAUUUUCGUAUUUUUAGUAGAGAUGGGGUUUCACAAUGUUGGCCAGGAUGGUCUCGAUCUCUUGACCUCGUGAUCCGCCCACCUCGGCUUCCCAAAGGCAUUCUCU
rnacentral:lncRNA from 10 species